GGAGUAAAAGUCGUAACAAGGUUUCCGUAGGUGAACCUGCGGAAGGAUCAUUAUUAUAUAACCGAGGUGCGAGGGCUGUCGCUGACCCGAAAGGUCGUGCACGCCCGUGUGCCUCACACACAUCCAUCUCACCCCUAUGUGCACCACCGCGUGGGUCCCCCUUUGGCUUGUUCGGAGGGGGGCUUACGUUUUCACACAAACUUUGUAUGCAGUGUAGAAUGUAUUUUUUGUUUUUGCGAUCACGCAAUCAAUACAACUUUCAACAACGGAUCUCUUGGCUCUC
rnacentral:misc_RNA from 1 species